rnacentral:rRNA from 1 species
GACGAACGCUGGCGGCGUGCUUAACACAUGCAAGUCGAGCGGUAAGGCCCUUUCGGGGGUACACGAGCGGCGAACGGGUGAGUAACACGUGGGUGACCUGCCCUCAGCUCUGGGAUAAGCCUGGGAAACCGGGUCUAAUACCGGAUAUGACUCCAUGACGCAUGUUGUGGGGUGGAAAGCCUUGUGCGGCUGAGGAUGGGCCCGCGGCCUAUCAGCUUGUUGGUGGGGUGAUGGCCUACCAAGGCGACGACGGGUAGCCGGCCUGAGAGGCGACCGGCCACACUGGGACUGAGACACGGCCCAGACUCCUACGGGAGGCAGCAGUGGGGAAUCUUGCGCAAUGGGCGAAAGCCUGACGCAGCGACGCCGCGUGAGGGAUGAC